UGAAAUGGACCCUACAAAAAGUAUUGACGUAUCAUAUACAUCAAGAAUGCUCCAUGUGUUUUGUGCAGGGCUCCAUGUGUGAUUGUAUACCUGCACAUACUAAGUCACGUUUUUUCUUAACUGGAUAAAAUUACAUUUGCACAAUGGGAGGCCCUCAUAAAGGAAAGUGAAUCAGAUUUUCAAAUUUUUUUUUUGGGUAAUAAAACACUUUAUUCACAGGGAUAAAUGAAUUACCCUUUUUCCAUUUCAUAAACAAGGCCUGCCUGUUUGAUUUAUAAUUCUCAUAUUCCGUUUAAUCACACUUUUUUAAUCCCUUUCAAUGUUUCCUCUCUAGAAUGAAAACAUGUUCCUAUGCAAGCGAAUAGCAAAUGCUGCUGUACUAGCAAUGAUUGUCACAACUGCUGGUGGUUUAUAAUGGUUCUGUGAUUGGCCGAAUAAUUGCUAAGUGUUAUUAAGGAUUUCAGAUCAUUGAUUUGGCUUUUCUAAAUAUAGAGCAGAAGGAGUUAACUGUUGAUUGACAGGAAUAUGUAAAGUUACUUUGCUCACUUGUUUUAUGAUGGGACUUAUCAGGAAAAUUCGAAGAGAGGGACUUCUUUCUUUGCGGCACUAGCAUCUCAUUUUCCAGGGUGAUGGUUUAGACAUCUCCGUUCUCUUCGCUAGAGCACGCAACAUCAUUUGCAAGGGACUUAUGGUUCAACAAGUCACCUAUUCAAUCAUGGCUGGAUGUAUUCUCUAAACACCUACACAUAGAUGAGGCUGCUAAGUUUGCGCCUGGGCCAAUUAUGUUGGAAUUAGAGCAAUUUGGAAAAAAUACUGCAGAAAAUUUGGCUUUGUGUUCAUAACAAGUACAGACAAGAAGCUAUUGCACCAAAUACUGGAGGAGGUGAAGACACGCUAUGAGAAUAGUUUUAUUGUUGAACUUGAUAUUACGUCUUGGGAGUAAUUCAUUCUUAUAGAAAGAAAGCUUCCACAACUUUGGGAUUGUAAUCCAAACAAUAAAUCUGUAGUAUUAUGCUUAA